rnacentral:tRNA from 1 species
UCCCUGGUGGUUCAGUGGCUAAGACUCUGUGUUACCAAUGCAGCAGACUUGGGUUCAAUCCCUGGUCAGGGAA